rnacentral:rRNA from 1 species
AAUCUAUAGAGGCGUUUUCCGCGCCGGACCGCGUCCAAGUCUCUUGGAAUAGAGUAUCAAAGAGGGUGACAAUCCCGUACUUGACGCGACAACCGGUGCUCUGUGAUACGUUCUCAAUGAGUCGAGUUGUUUGGGAAUGCAGCUCUAAAUGGGUGGUAAAUUCCAUCUAAGGCUAAAUAUUGGCGAGAGACCGAUAGCGAACAAGUACCGUGAGGGAAAGAUGAAAAGCACUUUGGAAAGAGAGUUAAACAGCACGUGAAAUUGUUAAAAGGGAAACGAUUGAAGUCAGUCGUGUGAAAGGUAUUCAGCCGUCUCUGGCGGUGUAUUUGCCUUUCACGGGUCAACAUCAGUUUGAUCCGGUAGAAAAAGGCGGGAGGAAGGUGGCACCCUCGGGUGUGUUAUAGCCUCCUGUCAUAUGUGCCGGACCAGACUGAGGAACGCAGCUUGCCGCAAGGCCGGGGUUCGCCCACGUACAAGCUUAGGAUGUUGACAUAAUGGCUUUAAACGACCCGUCUUGAAACACGGACC